GAUGAACGCUGGCGGCGUGCCUAAUACAUGCAAGUCGAACGGUAAGGCUUUCACAGUUCGCAUCUCUCCCGCUUGGUUUUAUAAACAGCAGGGCAAGCAGGUGCGAAGCGUGAAAGUACACGAGUGGCGGACGGCAGAGUAACGCGUAGGAAUGUACCCCAAAGUGAGGGAUAACUGCUCGAAAGAGUAGCUAAUACCGCAUGUGGUCUUCGGAUUAAAGCUUCGGCGCUUUGGGAACAGCCUGCGUAAGAUUAGCUAGUUGGUAGUGUAAUGGACUACCAAGGCGACGAUCUUUAGCUGGUCUGAGAGGAUGAUCAGCCUGACUGGAACUGAGACACGGUCCAGACUCCUACGGGAGGCAGCAGUAGGGAAUUUUCCACAAUGGGGGCGAACCCUGAUGGAGCAACGCCGCGUGCAGGAUGAAGGUUUUCGGAUCGUAAACUGCUUUUAUUUGUGACGAUUAUGACAGUAGCAAAUGAAUAA
rnacentral:rRNA from 1 species